rnacentral:rRNA from 1 species
GUGAGUAGUUCAGAGUUUGAUCCUGGCUCAGGAUGAACGCUGGCGGCGUGCUUAACACAUGCAAGUCGAACGGGGUUUAAGAAGGAAGCUUGCUUUCAUUUUAAACCUAGUGGCGGACGGGUGAGUAACGCGUGAGGAACCUGCCCUUCAUGGGGAACAACAACUAGAAAUGGUUGCUAAUACCGCAUAAUGUCGGAGAGCCGCAUGACUUUCCGACCAAAGGAUUUAUUCGCUGAAGGAUGGCCUCGCGUCCGAUUAGGUAGUUGGUGAGGUAACGGCCCACCAAGCCUACGAUCGGUAGCCGAACUGAGAGGUUGAUCGGCCACAUUGGGACUGAGACACGGCCCAG